rnacentral:rRNA from 1 species
UACGAAGGGGGCUAGCGUUGCUCGGAAUCACUGGGCGUAAAGCGCACGUAGGCGGAUUGCUAAGUCAGGGGUGAAAUCCUGGAGCUCAACUCCAGAACUGCCUUUGAUACUGGCGACCUUGAGUCCGGGAGAGGUGAGUGGAACUGCGAGUGUAGAGGUGAAAUUCGUAGAUAUUCGCAAGAACACCAGUGGCGAAGGCGGCUCACUGGCCCGGUACUGACGCUGAGGGUGCGAAAGCGUGGGGGAGCAAACAGG